GAUGAACGCUGGCGGCGUGCUUAACACAUGCAAGUCGAACGGAAAGGCUCCUGCUUGCAGGGGUACUCGAGUGGCGAACGGGUGAGUAACACGUGGGUGAUCUGCCCUGCACUUCGGGAUAAGCCUGGGAAACUGGGUCUAAUACCGGAUAGGACGAUGGUUUGGAUGCCAUUGUGGAAAGUUUUUCGGUGUGGGAUGAGCUCGCGGCCUAUCAGCUUGUUGGUGGGGUAAUGGCCUACCAAGGCGUCGACGGGUAGCCGGCCUGAGAGGGUGUACGGCCACAUUGGGACUGAGAUACGGCCCAGACUCCUACGGGAGGCAGCAGUGGGGAAUAUUGCACAAUGGGCGCAAGCCUGAUGCAGCGACGCCGCGUGGGGGAUGACGGCCUUCGGGUUGUAAACUCCUUUCGUCAGGGACGAAGCGAAAGUGACGGUACCUGGAGAAGAAGCACCGGCUAACUACGUG
rnacentral:rRNA from 1 species